GUGUUUGCAGGUGUGGCAUCAUCAAGAUUCACAUGGAUUACACAGUUGUUUUGAUCAGUGAGAAUCUUGAUGAUGCUGCAUCGGCAAAUAC
rnacentral:pre_miRNA from 1 species